CCUCCCUCCCCCUCCCAUGCAGCCGCCUUCCUCACUCGCUCGCUCCUCAUCCGGCGACGGCGGCGGCUGCUCCCGUGCCCGCGUUCUUCCUUCCCCAACAUGCCACCGCGUGAACCCGCAUGCCCAGGCGACUCCCACCAACCACGGCGACGGCGGCAGCUGCCACGGAGGAGGGCGGCGGACCAGCGGCGCCGGCGAUGGCAUCCGUGGGGGCGGUGGAUUCCUGUCGUCUACUCGAUCCCACGCUCGAUCUCCUAGCCCCUCCUCUCCCGCGCUCGUUUCCCUGCUGCCUCUCUCAUGCAAUCGCGACCCCAUCUCCUCUCGCACUUCCCGUCGCCGGGCUCGAGCUGUAGAGAUGCGCCAGUGCUCAACCCGAGCAGCGCGGUCCCUUGCUCGUGCCAGAGGUGCGCCUCCUCCUUGGUCCUCUUCUAUUGCUCUGCCUUCCGAGCACAGGCUGCCACUGCCACUCGGCGCCGCGGCUGCGCCAUAGCUCGGGCCGCAAGCACACUGCACCAUGGUGCUCCACCUCUGCUGCACUCGUCGAUCCGUAGAUAUGUCACUAUUUUGUUCCGUUUUGGUUAUUGGCUGCUGCUAAUAUUUAUUUUUUCAUCUUUUUUUUCAUGCAGAUUGGUCCACGAUUCAUGACCUUCUGGUCAAUCCCCUGGUCGGUGACUCCUUCGUUCAUCUAUUAGCAGCCUCGUCCAUCUUUGUUCACGGAUCUGCGGGUCAACCCCUCUUCUCCUCCUUUCCCCUCCUCUUCUUUCCAGACCUAGGUGUAGGAUUGUAUGGCAGUAUGCACUUUUUUGCCUCGCUCUGUUCUGCUUGUAGAUCAUGUCCUUUCCGUUAAAGGCCAAAAGUAUUUUUGUCUUUGUGCAUUGGAUUUUUGUCGUUUCCUUCCUUCACUGCUUGUUUUUAGUGGAGCCUAGAUAUAUGCCUUUUGUUCCUUGUUUGGAUCUUUGUAGGGCCUAUGAUUGUUGGUCCUUUCACCUUUGUGCAUGGAAUGUUGGUUAUUUUGUUCCUUUGCUUGUUUUAUUUAUUGUUUCUUUCUACUGUGCUCCUAUGAUUCAACAAUAACCGAGGCAAGGGUGUAAUGAUCUCAGUUUCCAAAUAUUGAAUUGCAAUUAUGGUUUAAUUGAUGUUUUCAUUAGUGAGGAGCAGGGGUGGUCACACAAGCAGAAUGGCCACACAAGGUGUUUUUCUCAAUCAGAGCACAUGCAUCUCUUAAAGAUAACACCAUAGCAAGUAUGAUUUACAGAUUAUUAGAUAUUUUUGGUCUAUGCUUCAUGUGUUUGUAGUGUUCCUAAAUCUAGAUAUGUUGUUUACAUAUGUGCUGAUUUCUGUGACUAAAUAGACUAGCAGUUCUGUCAAUGGUUAUAAAUACUUGCAGCUAGGAAAUACCUGUCCCCAUAUUGGAAGGCUUGUCUAUUUUAUGUCUUGAGUUGAAAGAAUUAUAUGAGAAGCUAAUGCAACUACUCAAGGUAACAGAGAGGAUAAGAGAAAAGCUUUGCUAUGGGAUGGCAUCUUUUUGUUAGGCACAUGAAUUCUUAUUCUGAACAAGUUUAAAAUUUGACACGGCGCCGGUUUGUAGGUGCUUUUUUCUAUAUAUAGAUCAUAUGCUUUCUACACGCUCUUGCUCUUCAUAGAUCAUCUAUUUGUCAGGACUAUCACUUUACGAGUUUAAAAUAACAACCUAGGUCUUCCAGAAUGCAACUACAUGAAUUUUAGGCCUAUGCUCACUCGCCGAUUGUUGUAGGUGUUCUCUCAUUGUCGCACUACUGGCCACCUCUCCUCUCCAUGGCGCUCAAUUCCGUGACAGGAGCCUGUUUUGUGUGCAACACGACUAUCCCAAAGGUGUAGCUCUCGUUGUACAGAGUUGUACUUCCUUGCCGGAAACCUCUCCAAUUCAGUGGUGUCAGCUAUGACCUGGAGAGAGGUGUUUAGACUCCCUAAGAUGGCAUAUGUUGCUAAGGAGACGUGAUCUCCGAGCAGCCCUUCUCAUAGCUCGCAGUCCAGGUCGAUGCCAAAUUCAACUUCUAGGAGGCUUUUUGUGCUGUGGCUGCAGUUUCGUGUUAUCGGGGGAAAAUAUCUUUUGUUUGUUUCUUAUAUUGGUGAUGUGGGUGAGUUGAUAUCUACCCGAUUUGUUCCUUUCCAUCUUGAUCUGUGUAGCAUUAAGCAUUUGAAUGGAGCACAUAUAGGCAUGCCCCGGUUCAUCUUAGAGUCACUUGGUUGUUUGAUGCGUUCGUGCUCGUCGGCGGGACGGUGGAAGGUGCAACUUCGACGCGGUUCCUUGCCGGUUGGAUGACGUUCAGGCGCAACCCCGGCACGCAUUGAGUACUGCCUCGGCUAUAACCUCCCUCGGUGAGCUCCAUCUUCCUUCUGCUCCUCUGCUUCGGCUACUGUAUGGGACAUGGCUGUGGCUAUAUUGAUGUGGUGCUCGUCUAGUUGAUGCUCUAUGCCCUACUCAUGCAUCAGUUCCUACCUGAGCUCUUUAGUUGUGGAUCCAUGCUAUCUUAGGGUUUGCAGGCUGCUUUUCAUGUUUAGUUGCUAUCAUAGGAGCUCAUUUGAUGCUCUGGUUUACAUGUGGAUGCCCUGGUCCUAUAGCUAUGCUCCUGGAUUUGCUAGAUUGAUCAGUGUCGUUCGUGCUAGGGAGAUGAUGAUUAAUCGUGGCUAAAAUAAGUGUGCCUUUGAGCAAUCAAGGCACUUGUGGGUAUCAAGUUGGAUCCUCCCUCUUGUCUCUAGAAUCCUUUUUGAUCCUGUGAUACUUGUUGUUGUCCUUGGAUGGUCAUUCUUGUUGAGUGAUAACUAGGGUAGCUCCACUGUAUAAACACAUUGAUUUGGUGAUAAGAGAUGACGUGGGUAGGUUAUAUGAUCGAGGAAAGGCAAAUCUGAGCCCACUAUGCAAUGAACCCUGAACCAUUUUUAUUUGUUUUUAAAGGUGUUGCUUAUUUAUGCUCAAGUGGUGUUCGUGCUAGGGCGAUGAUGAUUACCUUGGCUGAAAUUAGUGUGCCUUUGAGCAAUCGAGGCACCUGUGGGUAUCAAGUUGGAUCGUCACUCUUGUCUCUAGAAUCCUUUUUGAUCCUGUGAUACUUGUUGUUUUCCUUGGAUGGUCAUUCUUGUUGAGUGAUAACCAGGGCAGCUCUAUUGUAUGAACAGAUUGAUCUGGUGAGCAAGAGAUGACAGGGGUAUGUUAUAUGAUCGAGGAAAGGCGAAUCUGAGCCCACUAUGCAAUGAACCCUGAAUCCUUUCUAUUUGUAUUUAAAGGUGUUGCUUAUCCAGAAUCCAGAAAUAAGAACCGAAGCACCUUCCCUGGCUCCUUAGAGCUCAGGCACUUUCGGCCAUCCGAUCGUUUCCUUGAUGCGUUUCCGGGCAUCGGAUCUCGCUGCCGAUCGAUCUCAGUCGCCGGAUCAAACCAAGACGUUGUGGUAAUGAACAGUGCCCUCUCCAGCAUGC